GACCACACUGCAGGCUCAGAGCUGAAUGAACUAGACUCCAUCCUCCUAGUCUCUGCUCCAGCUCUUUAAGUAGAAAGCCCGGGUUCAAGACCAGUUGUCUGCUUUACUGUUGCUCUGAAGAGAAGUGGAAGCAACAGAACUGAGGCUCAAGAGGGAUUUGGCCAAGGCUCACCCUGACACUGACCAUGUGCUACGUGCCUCCGUGCAUUCCCUGGCUGAAUAUUCUCACGACACUCCUGUGCCAUGACCACCAUCCCUAUUUAUGGGUGAGGAUGUGGAGGCUCAGAGAGGUUCAGCAUGAUGGCCAGGGACACCCAGUUGGGGAAACUGAGGCAUAGAAAAAGAAAAUGAACUGCUCACAUCACAGAGCUCCUAAGGAGUAACAUCUCCAUAUGUUUCCAGCCUGAGCACCCACUCUGAAAGGCCCUACCAUUCUUCCACACAGCACCCUGCGACACACACACUGUCUGAGCACUGCCGGUGUGCCCAUCACUGAGGGUCCAGCAGGGAACAAGAAAGACCCUUGGCCAGGGAGCUUCCAUGCAAGGAGAGCAGGCAGAGAGAAAUCAGGUAUUCAGGACCGCUGUGAGGAUUACAGUCCGGGCCCCGUUGCUGACAAUUCUCAACACUGCCACUACCUGCCUGGCCAUCCCAGAAGCUCACAUAAACAGUGGCUGCAAUCGCUUUCAGGAAUCAUCUCAGAAGGAAGUCUUUAACUGCAGUCCUGAGACCAUGACUCGAAGUUUCCGGAACCUUUGAAAUUCUCACUGUUUAUUAUUUUUGUUACUCCCAUCUGUUUCCUGCAGCA